rnacentral:rRNA from 1 species
ACGAUGCAUAGCCGGCCUGAGAGGGCGGACGGCCACAUUGGGACUGAGACACGGCCCAAACUCCUACGGGAGGCAGCAGUAGGGAAUUUUCGUCAAUGGGGGGAACCCUGAACGAGCAAUGCCGCGUGAGUGAGGAAGGUCUUCGGAUCGUAAAGCUCUGUUGUAAGAGAAAAACGACAUUCAUAGGGAAUGAUGAGUGAGUGAUGGUAUCUUACCAGAAAGUCACGGCUAACUACGUGCCAGCAGCCGCGGUAAUACGUAGGUGGCGAGCGUUAUCCGGAAUGAUUGGGCGUAAAGGGUGCGUAGGUGGCAGAUCAAGUCUGGAGUAAAAGGUAUGGGCUCAACCCGUACUGGCUCUGGAAACUGAUCAGCUAGAGAACAGAAGAGGACGGCGGAACUCCAUGUGUAGCGGUAAAAUGCGUAGAUAUAUGGAAGAACACCGGUGGCGAAGGCGGCCGUCUGGUCUGGAUUCUGACACUGAAGCACGAAAGCGUGGGGAGCAAAUAGGAUUAGAUACCCUAGUAGUCCACGCCAUAAACGAUGAGAACUAGGUGUUGGGGGAAUAACUCAGCGCCGCAGUUAACGCAGUAAGUUCUCCGCCUGGGGAGUAUGCACGCAAGUGUGAAACUCAAAGGAAUUGACGGGGGCCCGCACAAGCGGUGGAGUAUGUGGUUUAAUUCGAAGCAACGCGAAGAACCUUACCAGGCCUUGACAUCCCUUGCAGAGGUAUAGAGAUAUAUCCGAGGUUACCAAGGAGACAGGUGGUGCAUGGUUGUCGUCAGCUCGUGUCGUGAGAUGUUGGGUUAAGUCCCGCAACGAGCGCAACCCUUGUGAUAUGUUACUAACAUUGAGUUGAGGACUCAUAUCAGACUGCCGGUGAUAAACCGGAGGAAGGUGGGGAUGACGUCAAAUCAUCAUGCCCCUUAUGGCCUGGGCUACACACGUACUACAAUGGCGUCUACAAAGAGCGGCAAGCCUGUGAAGGCAAGCGAAUCUCAUAAAGGGCGUCUCAGUUCGGAUUGAAGUCUGCAACCCGACUUCAUGAAGCUGGAAUCGCUAGUAAUCGCGAAUCAGCAUGUCGCGGUGAAUACGUUCUCGGGCCUUGUACACACCGCCCGUCAAACCAUGGGAGUUGGUAAUGCCCGAAGCCGGUGGCAUAACCCUUCGGGGAGUGAGCCGUCGAAGGCAGGACCGAUGACUGGGGUUAAGUCGUAACAAGGUA